rnacentral:rRNA from 1 species
AUUGAACGCUGGCGGCAGGCCUAACACAUGCAAGUCGAGCGGCAGCGGAAAGUAGCUUGCUACUUUGCCGGCGAGCGGCGGACGGGUGAGUAAUGUCUGGGAAACUGCCUGAUGGAGGGGGAUAACUACUGGAAACGGUAGCUAAUACCGCAUAACGUCGCAAGACCAAAGAGGGGGACCUUCGGGCCUCUUGCCAUCAGAUGUGCCCAGAUGGGAUUAGCUAGUAGGUGGGGUAAUGGCUCACCUAGGCGACGAUCCCUAGCUGGUCUGAGAGGAUGACCAGCCACACUGGAACUGAGACACGGUCCAGAGUCCUACGGGAGGCGGCGGUGGGGAAUAUUGCACAAUGGGCGCAAGCCUGAUGCAGCCAUGCCGCGUGUAUGAAGAAGGCCUUCGGGUUGUAAAGUACUUUCAGCGGGGAGGAAGGCGGUGAAGUUAAUAGCUUCACCGAUUGACGUUACCCGCAGAAGAAGCACCGGCUAACUCCGUGCCAGCCGCCGCGGUAA